CAGCAGCCGCGGGAAUACGUAGGUGGCAAGCGUUGUCCGGAAUUAUUGGGCGUAAAGGGCUCGCAGGCGGUUUCUUAAGUCUGAUGUGAAAGCCCCCGGCUCAACCGGGGAGGGUCAUUGGGAACUGGGAAACUUGAGUGCAGAAGAGGAGAGUGGAAUUCCACGUGUAGCGGUGAAAUGCGUAGAGAUGUGGAGGAACACCAGUGGCGAAGGCGACUCUCCGGUCUGUAACUGACGCUGAGGAGCGAAAGCGUGGGGAGCGGACAGGAUUAGAUACCCGGGUAGUCCCUGUCUCUUAUAA
rnacentral:rRNA from 1 species